rnacentral:rRNA from 1 species
AACGGACUAUAUGAUUGAGUAAUCGAGACUAUAGUUAGUGGCGAAAGGGCGAGGAAUAAAUAGGUAACGUACCCCGAUCUCCAGAAUAGCGUCAGGAUACUUCGGUAUCCAUCCGAAAGGGGCAAUAAUACUGGAUAAUAUCAUCUGUUUAAUGCAGAUGAUCAAAGAUUUAUCGGUUUGGGAGCGGCCUAUUUCCCAUCAGCUUGUUGGUAAGGUAAAGGCUUACCAAGGCUACGACGGGUAUCGGGACUGAGAGGUUGACCCGACGCAUCGGAACUGAGACACUGUCCGGACCUCCACGGAGGGCUGCAGUAACGAAUAUUGCACAAUGGGCGCAAGCCUGAUGCAGCAAUGCCGCGUGUAGGAUGAAGCUCCUCGGAGUGUAAACUACUGUCAGGGGUUAGAAAGUGCGCUUCGGCGUAUUGAUCAGCCCCAGAGGAAGUCACGGCUAACUUCGUGCCAGCAGCCGCGGUAAUACGAAGGUGGCAAGCGUUGUUCGGAAUCACUGGGCUUAAAGCGCACGUAGGCGGAACAGAAAGUGUCUUGUGAAAGCCCCCGGCUUAACCGGGGAAUUGCUCGGCAAACUCCUGUUCUUGAGUCAAGUAGGGGUACAUGGAACUCUUAGUGGAGCGGUGGAAUGCGUAGAUAUUAAGAGGAACGCCAAUGGUGAAGACAGUGUACUGGGCUUGUACUGACGCUGAGGUGCGAAAGCGUGGGGAGCGAACGGGAUUAGAUACCCCGGUAGUCCACGCCGUAAACGAUGUCUACUAGGUUGUGGAGGUUCUGACACACUCACAGCCGGAGCAAAAGUGUUAAGUAGACCGCCUGGGGAGUACGGUCGCAAGGCUAAAACUCAAGGAAUUGACGGGGGCUCACACAAGCGGUGGAGCAUGUGGAUUAAUUCGAAGCAACGCGCAGAA